GAUGAACGCUGGCGGCGUGCCUAAUACAUGCAAGUCGAGCGAACAGACGAGGAGCUUGCUCCUCUGACGUUAGCGGCGGACGGGUGAGUAACACGUGGAUAACCUACCUAUAAGACUGGGAUAACUUCGGGAAACCGGAGCUAAUACCGGAUAAUAUAUUGAACCGCAUGGUUCAAUAGUGAAAGACGGUUUUGCUGUCACUUAUAGAUGGAUCCGCGCCGCAUUAGCUAGUUGGUAAGGUCACGGCUUACCAAGGCAACGAUGCGUAGCCGACCUGGGAGGGUCAUCGGCCACACUGGAACUGAGACACGGUCCAGACUCCCACGGGAGGCAGCGGUAGGGAAUCUUCCGCAAUGGGAGAAAGCCUGACGGAGCAACGCCGCGUGAGUAAUGAAGGUCUUCGAAUCGUAAAACUCUGUUAUUAGGGAAGAACAAAUGUGUAAGUAACUAUGCACGUCUUGACGGUACCUAAUCAGAAAGCCACGGCUAACUACGG
rnacentral:rRNA from 1 species